rnacentral:rRNA from 1 species
GCCAGCAGCCAUAUCACCCUUUAACUUGCAACAAGCAACUCACUGAAACUUGAAACUAAACAGGUGUGAGCCUGGUCAGCACCUAGAUAGGAGACCUCCUGGGAAAAACCUAAGGUUGCUGCUGGAA